rnacentral:tRNA from 1 species
AGCGUUGUAGUUUAGAUAGAAUGGGUAGUUUACACCUAUUUGGGCCAAAUCUUUGGUGAUGCUU